rnacentral:rRNA from 1 species
AUUGAACGCUGGCGGCAGGCCUAACACAUGCAAGUCGAACGGCAGCACAGAAGAGCUUGCUCUUUGGGUGGCGAGUGGCGGACGGGUGAGUAAUGUCUGGGAAACUGCCCGAUGGAGGGGGAUAACUACUGGAAACGGUAGCUAAUACCGCAUAACGUCGCGAGACCAAAGUGGGGGACCUUCGGGCCUCACACCAUCGGAUGUGCCCAGAUGGGAUUAGCUAGUAGGUGGGGUAAUGGCUCACCUAGGCGACGAUCCCUAGCUGGUCUGAGAGGAUGACCAGCCACACUGGAACUGAGACACGGUCCAGACUCCUACGGGAGGCAGCAGUGGGGAAUAUUGCACAAUGGGCGCAAGCCUGGUGCAGCCAUGCCGCGUGUAUGAAGAAGGCCUUCGGGUUGUAAAGUACUUUCAGCGGGGAGGAAGGCGGUGAGGUUAAUAACCUUGCCGAUUGACGUUACCCGCAGAAGAAGCACCGGCUAACUCUGUGCCAGCAGCCGCGGUAA